rnacentral:rRNA from 1 species
AUUGAACGCUGGCGGCAGGCUUAACACAUGCAAGUCGAACGAGUGGCGGACGGGUGAGUAAUGUUUGGGCCUCUAGCUUAUGGAGGGGGAUCACUACGGGACACUGUAGCUUAUACCGUAUACUAUAGGAUGAGCCCAAGUGGGUUUAGAUAGUUGGUGGGGUAAAGGCUCACCAAGCCGACGAUCUCUAGCUGGUCUGAGAGGAUGAACAGCCACACUGGGACUGAGACACGGCCCAGACUCCUACGGGAGGCAGCAGUGGGGAAUAUUGCGCAAUGGGGGCAACCUGACGCAGCCAUGCCGCGUGAAUGAAGAAGGCCUUCGGGUUGUAAAGUUCUUUCGGUAGCGAGGCGUUAUCUACAGAAGAAGCACCGGCUAACUCCGUGCCAGCAGCCGCGGUAAUAC